CAUGGAACCCCAUCUGUAAGAUUGCAAAGAUAAAAAUCAUGAAGUAUUCAACUUGCAUUGCAUGGUACUCCCACUUUUUCCCCAAAACAUUUGGUUUAUUUAUAAUGUCAUUCUACAGAAGAACACAGAAGUGAAAGAAGAAAACCUUUUGUGUGGCACUGGCUCUGCAACAGCUGGCUUGGCUCCAAAGCCUGAACAGAGAUCACUUGUUCAUAACUCAAUGUCAGGAGAGCAGACUUCUCCUUACUCCCCCACAAAAGGCACAACUUUGUGGGGCAGGUUUGCGUUGGGGCAGAUAUCAAGGAGAAGGGAAUACAUUUACUUAGCAGAGUCCGUUCUGCUAGUGGAGGAGUACAAAUUCAGUGUGUAGAUCUCAACUAUGCCUCCAGAUACAUUAUCACUGGUUGACCACAAAGCUCCCUUGCAUCAGUUUUGUGUAAACAACACAUUAUUUUAAUUUUUCUUACAAGUUUAUUUUCUGCUCACACAGAACAAAAUAGUAAAAUAUAGAUGUAUGUAAACUAUAAUGUAACAAAUUUCAUUUAUUUUGGAAAUUAUAUCUAACUAUGAAAGCAAUUCAUGAUCAGUCUAUUUAGGGGAACAACGUAUCAACUGAUUGGGAUUUAACAUUUGAUCAAUAAAUGGCAGUGUACUCUUGGUAUAUACUAAUACCAAAA